UGGGGAAUAUUGCACAAUGGGGGAAACCCUGAUGCAGCGACGCCGCGUGAACGAAGAAGGUAUUCGUAUCGUAAAGUUCUGUCCUAUGGGAAGAUAAUGACAGUACCAUAGAAGAAAGCUCCGGCUAGAUACGUGCCAGCAGCCGCGGUAAUACGUAUGGAGCGAGCGUUGUCCGGAAUUAUUGGGCGUAAAGGGUACGCAGGCGGUUUAAUAAGUCGAAUGUUAAAGAUCGGGGCUCAACCCCGUAAAGCAUUGGAAACUGAUAAACUUGAGUAGUGGAGAGGAAAGUGGAAUUCCUAGUGUAGUGGUGAAAUACGUAGAUAUUAGGAGGAAUACCAGUAGCGAAGGCGACUUUCUGGACACAAACUGACGCUGAGGUACGAAAGCGUGGGGAGCAAACAGG
rnacentral:rRNA from 1 species